GCUGUAGCUCAGAGGUAGAGCAUCUGCCUUGCAUGCAGGGAGGUCCCAGGUUCAGUCCUUGGCAUCUCCA